UUCCGGCCCGAACAUGAUAUACGUGUCGGGGGUCCACCUCGGUGCCGCAGUUACACAAUAAGUAUUCCGCCUGGGGAGUACGAUCGCAAGAUUAAAACUCAAAGGAAUUGACGGGGGCCCGCACAAGCAGCGGAGCAUGUGGUUUAAUUCGAAGCAACGCGAAGAACCUUACCUAGACUUGACAUCCCCUGCAUAACCCAGAGAUGGGCGAAGUCCUUCGGGACAGGGUGACAGGUGGUGCAUGGUUGUCGUCAGCUCGUGUCGUGAGAUGUUGGGUUAAGUCCCGCAACGAGCGCAACCCUUAUCAUUAGUUGCUACCAUUAAGUUGAGCACUCUAGUGAGACUGCCCGGGGUAACCCGGAAGGAAAGGGGGGGAUGAACGCCAAAUCCUCCUGGCCCCCUUAAGUCUUAGGGGUUACCCCCGUGGCUAACAAGGGGGGAGGAACCAAAGAAAAUUGCAAAAACCCCCCAGGGGGGGGACCCCAAAUCCCAAAAAAAACCCUUCCCCCCAAUUUUCGAAAUUUUGAAAGGGGUUGGAAAAUUUCCCCCCCAAAAAUGAAAAACCCCCGGAAAUUUGUCCUCUUAAAAAUCCCCCAAAAAAAAAACCAUGUGUGCCGGGGGGGGAAAAAAAAUUUUUCCUCCGGGGCCCUUUUUUUAAUAAAAACCCCCCCGUGUUUAAACACAAUUUAGGAGGGG
rnacentral:rRNA from 1 species